AUCUUUUAUGGUUUAACCCCCCCGGAGGUCACACGCAGAACCUCAAGAGUCCGGAGUAAACGUCUGGUGUCUACGGCUAGGCCUCUCGGUAGCAGGCCUUUGGGAUUUUCUGCUGCUGGGCUGAGUGGGCGACCUGGUCCGAGGUCAAAAGAGCUUCAAGUUUGCUGGAGAGGAGUGUGUGAACCACCGGCCAGGCCUAUUGAAGGGAAGACCCCCACCCCAACUAUAAAGGGGUAGUCUGGGGAGGAGGAGGAGCCACAGGACUGAAGCACUGGGAAUGUGUAAGGUACUGCCUAACCUGUGCUUCUGAGCCGGAAUCUCCUGGCAUUGCAAUAUUUUACGUACGAGGAGAGAUCAGUGCAGAGUGGUAAUGGGGGUGUGCCGGUAUGUAAACUAUAAAGUAGGAAGCUUUCACCUUGUUUGUCUCUGUCAGAUUGACCUUGAUAGAAUGAAACGAUGCACUCCCAGCUAGCUAUUACCCACUCUAUCCAAAUACAAUAUUUGCUCCCAUUGACUGACAUUUGAAUGCUAUAUUCUUUUUAAAUGAUAGUGUAUGUACAAUAUAUGUACAGUUAUAGUCAACAGUUUUGCAUCACCCUAUAGAAUUAACACAUUUUGCUUCAUGAAGUUGAAUGAAACCUGCUAAAUAAUGUUACAUUAACACAUUGAAUUACAUGCUACUUUGUAGUUUUUCAUAUACAUAAUGAAAAACUGACAAAAAUUGAACAAUGUGACAUUUUGAAAUCUAACAUGAAAUACACUACUAUUAUGGCUUCCGGUAGACUUUUGCAAUAUCAUUUUGUGGUUACUUUGAUUACAUGAGGUUAAGUAAAUGAUCAAAAUUAUGUUGAUAUACUUUAAAAUGAUGUCUCAAUCCUAAAAUUCUAGGUAAAACAUUUGGCCAUGGUUAUAUGUGUAAGAAAACAUAUUAUAAAGAUAAAAACUGCAUUUCCGAAUAUUAACAAGAACAGUUAGGUAGCACUGUUAGACGCUGACAAAGUGUUUGUUAAAAACUUUAAUUAGUACAAGCCUAUCCCAGAGGCCUGCGAUGGCAGGGAGUGUAAAUGGAGAAGCUGUCCCAGCUUGCUGGCUCCACAGUGGGCCACAUCUCACGCACAGAUGGGCUGCUGAAGAAACUGUGAAUGGACAAAUGAUAACAGAAUAUGCCGAGAUUCCAACAACAGCUCAUUAGCAAUCUGUCAGAGGUUUUUUUAAUUUGUGCACUGGUGUACAUAAUGCAGUGAAACAACAUAAUCAUACGAUAUAAUCUAUGCAAUGCAUAAUUUAAUUGAAAAGGGGCAUUCUUUUUUUUGUGUGUCUCUUGGAAAAAUGACGAAAAUAGUUGCCAACUAAACCACUUUUGUUGUAUCAAUUGUUUUUCUGCUGAGGGCUAUACUGUUUUAAAGUCAUAUUUUCUAAUUCAUUUGCAUAUAAUUUAUGAAAUUAUGCACAGUCUGACUGGUUACUUUGGCAACCCUACAAGCUGUAUAACCUUUUAUUAUUAUUAUUAUUAUUAUUAUUAUUAUUAUUAUUAUUAUUAUUAUUAUUAUUAUUAUUAUUAUUUCUAUUGCAUGUAAUAUACCAUUUAUUUAUUUAUUUAUUUAUUUUAGCUUUGAAGAUCUACUUGAGGGAAUAUUAACUGUAAGUUUUUUUUCUGGUCUGCAUUCCUAAGACAGUUGGAUCUGAGUUAAUUAGCUGUAUACCUGUAGGCAUUCUACUAUUAUCUUUUGUUUUAAAUUAUUUCAUUCGGAUGGGAUUUUAGCCGUGUUUGUAAUUGAAAUGUUCUCCUGCUACCCUUUUUAUUUAUUUAUUUAUUUAUUUAUUUAUUUAUUUAUUUAUUUGCAUGUGAAUUGUGAUGUGAGCUUUAAAAGUCUCCGGUCUAUUAGCCAGUGCUGCUCAUCAAGGUUCAGACAGCGUUCACCAGCCCAUUUGACUUACCAGGUGUAUUUAUGCUGAACUGUCAUAAGCUACAAUAGGAAGAUCUCUCAUGUUUCCUUGGGGUGCUUUUAACUCAGUCCAAUCAAGCCUGAUCCCCCACAUUGAGGCUUUCACCGCUAAAGAGCACCCCUUCCCAUCUUCAAGGGUACAGUAGCAGUGUCCCCCACCUGGGAUUGAACCCAUGACCCUCCAGUCAAGAGUCCAGAGUCCUAACCACUACUCCACACUGCUACCAUCUCCACUCUUGGAAAAUAAAUAUUGAAUAUUAUUUGCAGAUGCAGUUGUUUUAUUUUCUGUUGAUACAUUUGACCAAAAUACUGUACGUCAGUCAUACAAGUAAACCAUGUAUUCCCACACUCCAAAGCUAGAAAGAAUUGUAUGCAAGUCAAUGUCCUUUAAGGUUUUUAUUGAGGUAUAAAAGUGUAUGUAAAGUAAGACAGUAAACUUCAGCCAAUCGUUGAUCAUUAUCAUUUUUUAAAAAUCUUAUUAAAAAGUUUUUGAAACAAAGUUUCCACCUGUCAGAUAUGAUACCUCCAAACCUGUGGAUUUCCAGAUGAAAAGUGUGGUUUCCAAGAAAACAUCAAGCUUACAGAUCUACAAACAACUUUGCUUAAAGGAUUAUGUAUCUUACAAAGCAAAUACUGGUCAAAUUUAGCCUGGGGCAGUUUUAUAAAAGGAGAUGUACUGAGAAUCUUUCACACAGAUGUACAAAGAGGCUUAGAGAGUACUUGAGUUAUAAAAAGAGGUAUACACCUAAAAUUCAAGAUAAUACAAAACUGUUCAAUGUUUAGUUGCCCUUAUGAAGUUCUUCAUAAAUGUCAUCCUGUUACAGAGAUAAUAAAGGUCUAUCAUUUGUAAGAUAUAAAACAUUAAUAAAUGUGCUUAGCUACAGAGUACAGUGAUCACUAAAAUGUAUAAUGUUUGUGCAAGAUUAUGAAGUACAGAAUGAAUAUAGAUAUGAGUUCUGUACGUUUUGUUGCUGUUCUACAAAGUAGUGCGAAUGUAAAGAAGUGGUUCAUUUUCUCAAUUGCUUUCAAUGAGUUCCUUCAAGAAGAUCCUUCAAGAAGCUGCUUGAUGAGAUUCUGGGAUCAAUAAGCUACUAACAACCAAACGAGCAAGAUGGGCCGAAUGGCCUCCUCUUGUUUGUAAACUUUCUUAUGUUCUUAUGUUCUUAUUAGGAUUGUUUGUGUAUGGAGCAUGGGGCUGUGAGAGGGGAGGCCAUGGGAAAUGGAGUACCACAGAGCAAAGACUGCUGGGAAAUGUAGUUUAUUUAGGCAGGCAAGGUGAAACACUGCUAUUGAGUCAGCUAUAAGCUCUCAUUGAAGAACCAGGUUGUGCAUUGGUGAGGAGGUUUGAGGGGAGGAGUUAACCCCCUUUAUAAGCAGUUAUGCAGCAGCAGGAAAGGAAAAGACAGGAGGGAUGACAACAGGGCAGACCGGAGAAGGAGAGACGCAACUGGGAGACAGAUGAAAUACAGGUUGGAAGCAGAGUGCAGGAGGAAGCAUUGUGGGAAAUCCUUUUCCAUGUGGACUUGGACUUGGACUGGGCUGUAGACGCAAGAGGCACUGGAACUACCCUGGAUAAAGAGGAAAUCUGCGGUUCAUAAAGGGAAGUGUCCAUCGUGUGCAUGCACAGCCAUUUUAUUCCCAGUUGUAUUUUUGCACCUUGUUUUUAUGCUAGUUUAGCCUGUUUUAUCCCAACUGUUUUAUUAGUAUUUUAACAGGUUAGUGUCUCUAGAGAGAGAGAGAGCGCUUUUAUUGGGAUUUUAGCACAGGUUUUAAAUGAAGCAUUUUAACCGAGUGUGUUUUAGAUGGCUCAAUUUGGCAAAGAGGGAAGAAGAGGUGGCGAGGGACUUACCGUUUUUAAAGCUUUUUACCAGCGUGGUUGUUUCUCUGCCCCUCCCUGAUAGGUACAGUGGAGGAGCCUCAGGGGCUGCUGGAUCCAACCAUUGCGCUGACGCUACACACCCAGGAGGAUUGGACUCAACAGCGGACAGCUCGGCCGGAGUCUAGUGGGCGGGGCCUCUGCAUCAUCAGUUGUAUUUUCCCUCUUGUUGUUUUGAUACUUUGUGCCGUAGCCCAGUGGUGGGCGCUCUUUUGAUUUUUAUACUUUCCCACGCUAGCCAAUUAGUGGGUGGUGGCCAUUUUGCUGAAGUUUUAACUUUUUUUGCCAUUUUUUUUAUAAUUAAUAAAUCUUGUUUUAAUUAUGUUGCUGGUGUUGUCUGUCCCUGGGCGGGUUGGUCUCCAUUCUCCUACCUAUGUUGCAAAUUAAACGAACCUGUGCAAAUUGACGCUUUUAUUGUUGUAUACUGGGUCCUGGUGCCCACUACCACCAGGUGGCGUAGUCGGACUACAUAUAUAUAUUUUUACUGCCUUGCCACCGUGAAUCGCGACACCAGCACAUGUACCGCUGUCAAGGUUCAUUUUCCAGUAGGUUAAAAAGAAUAAAUAUUGGUUGUUAAAUCAUAAACUAGGCCCAUGUUCAUUGAAUAGGUGUGUGUUUGUGUGACCUCAAAACAACAAUGUACAAAACACGAGGAAUCAGAAAUCUUAAGCUGUUGAAACAGGCUACCAGGACACAGUAGAUGACAAAACAAAUGCAGACACACACACACACACAUACACAUGCACGUACGAUUUCCUUGUACAGCAUCAUGCCGGACAAGGUGUCAGAAGGCCACGGUACCUUUUCAUAGUGGUUGACCUUGAGAGAUAUAGAUUUAUAAACUGUCAAACGUUUCUUAGAUGAUGAACACAAAAAAUUAUAAGGGAUAACAGACUAGCUGCAUUAAGUAGGUUUUGGUUGUCUUAUUGGCAUAAUUCAGAAAUAUCUAUAUAUAUUGUUUAUUCAUGUAUUUUUUAUAUAAGGCUCGUUUGUUAUCCUCUAUAGCAGGGGUAGGGAGUUCUGGUCUUGGAGUGCUGUUCCAGUCCAGGUUUAGAAGGUAUAAUUUAAAAAAGUCCUUUAGAACCA